UUCAGACUGUACAUGGUAGUGUAGAUGAAGUGUUUUGUACUGGUACCUGCUUGGGAAAAUGAUCUAGGACUAUAGGACCAUAGGGCUAUGAUAGGCAGGUAAGCAGAGGACCAGGAUCAUAAAGACAGUGAUACAGUGUCUUUAGGCAAAAAACAGGUUUAUUCAGGAAAACUCUUCCAAAAUAAAGUCACUGACAUACAGGUACAUCAUUCAUUAGCGUUUUAAAAGCAUGCAUUCAAGACUCUGGGGUUUUCACGAUACAUGUUGGUUUCCACACUCAGGAAUAUUCAGGCUUCUCACUAAGCCCUUCUAACUCCCCCCUCCUGGGAUAUCCGCUUACCAGCUUCAGGCCUGGCUCACCUUCUGGCAGCACCUCAAUCACUGUAGACUCACCUUGUCACAUCUCCAUCUGCCCCUUGCAGUGGCAGGAAGCACCCCCAGCCCCUCUGGGAGUUCUUAACACAGACAGGUAAGCUCCCUGAUCUUUGCCCAGCUUUGAGAGACCUCCCUUACACUAAACUAUGAUUAAAUACUUUUCCACAGGACAGCCUUCCAGUGGAAAGUGAGCUCCAACAUGCAAAUUGGACCACUGGAAUGGAUUGCCUAUCCCAUCGAGAACACUAUAGCGUCCAGGGCCAGCUAGCAAAAUCCUUUGAACAGAGAAACCAUUCCCUGUUUAUGCACAUCUCCCUUGUAGCUUUCAACUCCUUCAGAUCAUGUUCAAAGUCACCAACGGAAUAUGGCCCACGUGUGAAAUCUGAAAGCAGAUCCAGAUCCUGUAGAGCAUCAACAGAUUCCAAGCAUUCUGAAUACUGUCCAGGUCCAGUUCCAAAUCGAGGCAGAUUCGUUUGCAUCAUCCUCUUAUACAACAGCUGCAGGAGAAUAGAAAUGAUGUACUGUGUAUUGUGAAAGAAAAGAUUGUGACCACACAGAAGUGUAUUAUUACAGAGCACACGCAAACAGAGGAAACUUUCAAAGGAAAAGUCGGCAUGAAAGCAAAAACCAUAAAGAGAGAAAAAUGAAGAACAAAACAAAAUUUAAUAAUAAUACUGAUUCGGAAGACUCUACUUAUCGAGAUCCAGCCCAGAAACUCUUCUAUAUAGUCAUAUUUCUAUUUGUAUUCGUGGUUAUAAUAUCUUGCUGGGGACAAUGGGCACAACAUCAGAAGAUGAUUGAAACGGAAAAGAGGAUAAAGCUCCUUGACCUCCAAAGGAGAGAGACGGAGGAAAAAAUUAGAACAGCUGAGGCAAAGAUGGCAGAAAUUGCGAACAGAAUGGCUGAAUACCAGUUGAAAAUCCAAGAAACCAGCAACACAGUGGCCAAAAUUAAUGAAAAACUGAAGGAUGCACAAGAACCAACUUGGCCAUUGACUUCGUUAUCUGAGAUUCUCUGUUAUUACUUCUGCUCAGAGUAACACAUAUAUGGAUGAAGGCAUUAUUCUAAAGAAAAAGUAAAAAGUUGGACUUUCCAGCGACCAAGUCCUACAUUAAUGAUGAUACCACCAUGGAAAGUGGCCAAAAUGAGAAAGUUGUGAAUGUAACAUUACUCCAUGAUAAAGACUGGCUAAGACCUACCCGUCAUCAGGACUGUCCAAAAAUAUGGCCUUCAUCGUACCCAUUCCAGCCACAGGGCCAAAACUACUACCCAGUCUUGGGCCCUAAGACAUCAACAGCUGCUGGAAAACAAAGCAAAGCACAGCUACAAUAAAUAAAUAUUUUUUUUUAACAUUGCUCACUGUACAGUACAAGCCCUAUAGAUUUGGCUUAUCCAUUGCAUUUGAUCU